UACGUAGGGACCAAGCGUUGUUCGGAUUUACUGGGCGUAAAGGGCGCGUAGGCGGCAAUUCAAGUCAGUUGUGAAAUCUCCGAGCUUAACUCGGAACGGUCAACUGGUACUGUUUUGCUAGAGUACAGAAGGGGCAAUCGGAAUUCUUGGUGUAGCGGUGAAAUGCGUAGAUAUCAAGAGGAACACCUGAGGUGAAGACGGGUUGCUGGGCUGAUACUGACGCUGAGGCGCGAAAGCGUGGGGAGCAAACAGG
rnacentral:rRNA from 1 species